rnacentral:rRNA from 1 species
AAUAUUUCGCAAUGGAGGAAACUCUGACGCAGCGACGCCGCGUGAGCGAUGAAGGUCUUCGGAUCGUUAAGCUCUGUCCUUGGGGAAGAAGGUCUUCGGACUUGCCGGUACCCAUGGAGGAAGCCCAGGCUAACUACGUGGCAGCCGCCGCGGUAAUACGUAGGAGGCAAGCGUUGUCCGGAAUUAUUGGGGGUAACGGGUGCGUAGGCGGCCUUUUAAGUCAGAUGUGAAAGCCCACGGCUCAACCGUGGGAUUGCAUUUGAAACUGGAGGGCUUGAGUAUCGGAGAGGGUAGUGGAAUUCCCAGUGUAGCGGUGAAAUGCGUAGAUAUUGGGAGGAACACCAGUGGCGAAGGCGACUACCUGGACGAUUACUGACGCUGAUGCACGAAAGCUAGGGGAGCAAACA